AUGGCCUCCGAGGCUCGCAAGACCGCCGCUGCAGCGCGCCCGCCUCCCCGCGACUUCCUCGCCGACCUCGAGGCCUACCUGGCCCGCCGCGACGGUGUCGACAAGCUCCUCAAGAUCUCCCGCUACGCCGCGCGCCUCGCCCUCGCCGCAGGGCCGCUGCCCCCGCCGGCCUCCGCGCGCCUCAAGUCCUUCGAGUCCAGCCUCGGCCUCAGCCGCAAGGCCUUCCGCCUGGGCAAGUUCGUCCAGGACGUCAACGCCCUCCGCGCGCACCCCGGCCCCCUCCCUCCGCCCUUCGUGCUCCUCGCCUACGGCGGCGAGGGCGUCUACUACUUCAUCGAGCAGUUCGUCUGGCUCGCGAAAGCUGGCCUCCUCCCGGCGCACCUCCUCCCCCGCCUCCAGUGUCUCAGCGCCUGGGCCGAGCUGCUGGGCUACGUCGGCUCCAUCACCAUCAAGCUGGAAGAAGUGACGAAGAUGGAGUCUUCAAUCAAGAUGCGGCGGGCGGAGGGUUGUGGGGAGGAGAACCAGGCGGUGACGACGAUGCGGGGGAAGCUGCUGCUGAAGCGUCUGUCCGUUGUGCAGGACGUGGCGGAUGCCUUCAUGGCGCUAGGGGACGUGACUAACGGGAAGGGGUUGCUCGGUAGCUCCACGCUGACGGCGUCCGCCGGAUUGCUGUCGGCGCUGAUCAGCACGCACAAGAACUGGAAUUCUUGCUGA
rnacentral:rRNA from 1 species